AGAUGGGGACAGGAGCUGGUGAGAGAUGGUUCAUUUGUGGACACUGCUGAAGGAAGAGGCAAAGCAAUGUGUCUGGAAAUGAGGUAGAGUGAAGAAAGGCCCAACUGAAGACACUUUCCUGCCUUGCUUUGCAGAUUUGGAGGAAAACAGAAUGAAUCCUACACAUGUGUACAAACCCGCAAAUGAGGGGAAAGCACAGGGAGCUUGUGUCAAAUUCUCCAGCAAAGAUGUGCACAGUUAGAAUUGAAAAGCAACGGGAUAAACAAGGAAAGUGCAAAGAGGAUCAUGUGUUGUUCUUGUGUAUAAAAGAUUCCUUGAAGCAUCUUGGAUUAAGUCGUGCGCAAGAUGGCUGAAUAGGAACAGCUCCGGUCUGCAGCUCCCAGCAAGAUCAACACAGAAGACAAACUAAGCUUCACAAGCAAAGGAGCAAUAAAAUCCUUUACAGACAAGCAAAUGCUGAGAGAUUUUGUCAUCACCAGGCCUGCCUUACAAGAGCUCCUGAAGGAAGUACUAAAUAUGGACAGGAAAAACGGGUUUCAGACACUGCAAAAACAUACCAAAUUGUAAAGACCAUCGACACUGUGAAGAAACUACAUCAACUAAUGGGCAAAAUAACCAGCUAGCAUCAUAAUGACAGGAUUAAAUUCACACACAACAAUAUUAACCUUAAAUGUAAAUGGGCUAAAUGCUGCAACUAAAAGACACAGACUGGCAAAUUAGAUAAAGAGUAAAGACUCAUUGAUGUGCUGUAUUCAGGAGAUCCAUCUCACGUGCAAAGACACAUACAGGCUCAAAACAAAGGAAUGGGGGAAUAUUUACCAAGUAAAUGGAAAGCAAAAAAAAAAGCAGGGUUGCAAUCCUAGUCUCUGAUAAGACAGACUUUAAACCAAUAAAAAUCAAAAAAGACAAAGAAGGGCAUUACAUAAUGGUAAAGGGAUCAAUGCAACAAGAAAAGCUAACAAUUCUAAAUAUGUAUGCACCCAAUAUAAGAGCACCCAGAUUCAUAAAGCAAGUUCUUAGAGACCUACAAACAGACUUAGACUCUCACACAAUAAUAGUGGGAGACUUUAACACCCACUGUUAAUAUUAGACAGACCAAAAUGAGACAGAAAAUUAAUAAGGGUAUUCAGGACUUGAACUCAUCUCUUGACCAAGCGGACCUAAUAAACAUCUACACAACUCUCCACCCUGAAUCAAUAGAUGUACAUUCUUCUCAGCACCACAUUGCACUUAUUCUAAAAGUGAUCACAUAAUUGGAAGUAAAACACUCCUUAACAAAUGCAAAAGAAUGGAAAUCAUAACAAACAGUCUAUCAGACCACAGUGCAAUCAAAUUAGAACUCAGGAUUAAGAAACUUACUCAAAACCUCACAACUACAUGGAAACUGAACAACCUGCUCCUGAAUGACUACUGAGUAAAUAAUGAAAUUAAGGCAGAAAUAAAUAAGUUCUUUGAAACCAACGAGAACAAAGACAUAACAUACCAGAAUCUCUGGGACACAGCUAACCCAGAGUUUAGAGGGAAAUUUAUAGCACUAAAUGCCCACAGAAGGAAGCGGGAAAGAUCUAAAAUUGACACCCUAACAUUGCAAUUAAAAGUAUUAGAGACGCAAGAGCAAACAAAUUCAAAAGCUAGCAGAAGACAAGAAAUAACUGAGAUCCAAGUAGAACUGAAGGAGAUAGAGACAUGAAAAACCCUUCAAAAAAUCAAUGAAUCCAGGAAGUGGUUUAUUGAAAAGAUUAACAAAAUAGAUAGACCGCUAGACAGACUAAUAAAGAAGAAAAGAGAGAAGAAUCAAUUAGACAUGAAAAGUGAUAAAGGGGAUAUCACCACUGAUCCCACAGAAGUACAAAAUGCCCUCAGAGAAUACUAUAAACACCUCUACACAAAUAAACUAGAAAAUCCAGAAGAAAUGGAUAAAUUCCUGGAAACAUACACCCUCCCAAGUCGAAACCAGAAAGAAGUUGAAUGCCUGAAUAGACCAAUAACAAGUUCCGAAAUUGUGGCAGUAAUUAACAGCCUUCCAACCAAAGAAAACCCAGGACCAGACGGAUUCACAGCUGAAUUCUACCAGAGGUACAAAGAGAAGCUGGUACCAUUCCUUCUGAAACUAUUCCAAACAAUAGAAAAAGAGGCACUGCUCCCUAACUCAUUUUAUGAGGCCAGCAUCAUCCUGUGACCAAACUCUGGCAGAGACACAAUAAAAAAAGAAAAUUUCAGGCCAAUAUCCCUGAUUAACAUCAAUGCGAAAAUCCUCAAUAAAAUACUGGCAAACUGAAUCCAGCAACAUAUAAAAAGUUAUCCACCAUAAUCAAGUCGGUUUCAUCCUUCGGAUGCAAGGCUUACUCAACAUAUGCAAAACAAUAAGCAUAAUCCAUCACAUAAACAGAACCAAUGACAAAAACUACAUGAUUAUCUCAAUAUAUGCAGAAAAGUCCUUCAAUAAAAUUCAACACCCCUUCAUGCUAAAAAAUCACAAUAAAUUAGGUAUUGAUGAAAUGUAUCUCAAAAUAAUAAGAGCGAUUUAUGACAAACCCACAGCCAAUAUCAUACUGAACGGGCAAAAGCUGGAAGCAUUCCCUUUGAAAAUUGGCACAAGACAAGGAUGAUCUCUCUCACCAAUCCUAUUCAACAUGGUAUUGAAAGUUCUGGCCAAGGCAAUCAGGCAAGAGAAAGAAAUAAAGAGUAUUCAAAUAGGAAGAGAGGAAGUCAAAUUGUCUCUGUUUGCAGAUGACAUGAUUGUGUAUUUAGAAAACCCCACUGUCUCAGCCCAAAAUUUCCUUAAGCUGAUAAGCAACUUCAGCAAAG
ensembl:lncRNA novel transcript, antisense to FRK